AUGGACAUCACUCACUACUGUGACCCCCAGAAGGAGCAGCAGGGGAACAGAGGUUCUGUGGUCUCCUAUGAGCUGACUCAGCCACCCUCAGUGUCAGUGGUCCUGGGAUUGAUGGUCAGAAUCACCUGUCAAGGAAACAGCAUUGUAAGUAGAAGAGCUCACUGGAACCAGCAGAAGCCAGUCCAGGCCCCAGUGAUGGUCAUUUACCAUGAUAACGACCAGCCCUCAGGGAUCCCUGACUGGUUCUUUGGCUCCAACUUGGGGAACACGGCCAUCCUGACCAUCAACAGGGCCCAGGCUGAGGAUGAGGCUGAUUAUUACUGUCAGUCAGGAGGCAGCAGUUAUGAUCUCCCGCAGUGA